UUUUCAGCAAGAUGAGUUUGUAUCAUGGCUCAGGAUGAACGCUAGCGACAGGCCUAACACAUGCAAGUCGAGGGGCAUCGGGACGUAGCAAUACGUUGCCGGCGACCGGCGGAUGGGUGAGUAACGCGUAUGCAACCUACCCGUAGCAGGGGGAUAGCCCGUUGAAAGACGGAUUAAUACCCCGUAACACAGGGGCUCCGCAUGGAGAUUAUUGUUAAAGGGUCAUUUCUUUUUCAGGGAUGGUCCGGCUGCGGAUGGGCAUGCGUUCCAUUAGGUAGUUGGUGUAGGUAACUGCUCACCAAGCCGACGAUGGAUAGGGGAACUGAGAGGUUGGUCCCCCACACUGGUACUGAGACACGGACCAGACUCCUACGGGAGGCAGCAGUGAGGAAUUUUGGUCAAUGGACGCAAGUCUGAACCAGCCAUGUCGCGUGAAGGAGGACGGCCCUAAGGGUUGUAAACUUCUUUUGCAGUGGAAUAAAGUUUGCCACGUGUUGGCGAUUUGCAAGUACGCUGCGAAUAAGGAUCGGCUAACUCCGUGCCAGCAGCCGCGGUAAUACGGAGGAUCCAGGCGUUAUCCGGAUUUAUUGGGUUUAAAGGGUGCGCAGGCGGGGAAUUAGGUCGGCGGUGAAAUUUCGGGGCUCAACCUCGACAGUGCCGUUGAAACCGUUUCUCUUGAGUGCGGAUGAGGUAGGCGGAAUUUGUGGUGUAGCGGUGAAAUGCGUAGAUAUCACAAGGAACACCGAUUGCGGAGGCAGCUUACUAAACCGUUACUGACGCUCAUGCACGAAGGCGUGGGGAUCAAACAGGAUUAGAUACCCUGGUAGUCCACGCAGUAAACGAUGAUUACUUGCUGUUUGCGAUACACAGUAAGCGGCGAAGCGAAAGCGUUAAGUAAUCCACCUGGGGAGUACGUUCGCAAGAAUGAAACUCAAAGGAAUUGACGGGGGCCCGCACAAGCGGAGGAACAUGUGGUUUAAUUCGAUGAUACGCGAGGAACCUUACCCGGGCUUGAAAUGCAUUCGACGGGGUUGGAAACAGCCUUUCCCUUCGGGGCGGAUGCGUAGGUGCUGCAUGGUUGUCGUCAGCUCGUGCCGUGAGGUGUCGGCUUAAGUGCCAUAACGAGCGCAACCCCUGUCGUCAGUUACCAUCGGUAUAAGCCGGGGACUCUGGCGAGACUGCCAUCGUAAGAUGCGAGGAAGGUGGGGAUGACGUCAAAUCAGCACGGCCCUUAUGUCCGGGGCGACACACGUGUUACAAUGGGCGGUACAGCGGGGCGCUACCCGGCGACGGGGAGCCGAUCCCGAAAUCCGCUCACAGUUCGAAUCGGAGUCUGCAACUCGACUCCGUGAAGUCGGAUUCGCUAGUAAUCGCGCAUCAGCCACGGCGCGGUGAAUACGUUCCCGGGCCUUGUACACACCGCCCGUCAAGCCAUGGAAGUCGGGGGUACCUGAAGUUCGUAACCCUUCGGGGAGCGACCCAGGGUAAAACCGGUGACUGGGGCUAAGUCGUAACAAGGUCGCCGAUCAUUCCCCAGUACAU
rnacentral:rRNA from 1 species